rnacentral:rRNA from 1 species
AUUGAACGCUGGCGGCAGGCCUAACACAUGCAAGUCGAACGGUAACAGGAAGAAGCUUGCUUCUUUGCUGACGAGUGGCGGACGGGUGAGUAAUGUCUGGGAAACUGCCUGAUGGAGGGGGAUAACUACUGGAAACGGUAGCGAAUACCGCAUAACGUCGCAAGACCAAAAAGGGGGACCUUCGGGCCUCUUGCCCUCUGAUGUGCCCAGAUGGGAUUAGCUAGUAGGUGGGGUAACGGCUCACCUAGGCGACGAUCCCUAGCUGGUCUGAGAGGAUGACCAGCCACACUGGAACUGAGACACGGUCCAGACUCCUACGGGAGGCAGCAGUGGGGAAUAUUGGACAAUGGGCGCAAGCCUGAUGCAGCCAUGCCGCGUGUAUGAAGAAGGCCUUCGGGUUGUAAAGUACUUUCAGCGGGGAGGAAGGGAGUAAAGUUAAUACCUUUGCUCAUUGACGUUACCCGAAGAAGAAGCACCGGCUAACUCCGUG